UAAUACGGAGGGGGCUAGCGUUGUUCGGAAUUACUGGGCGUAAAGCGCGCGUAGGCGGUUUUUCAAGUCAGGGGUGAAAGCCCGGAGCUCAACUCCGGAAUUGCCCUUGAAACUGGAUGACUUGAGUCUUGGAGAGGUCAGUGGAAUUCCGAGUGUAGAGGUGAAAUUCGUAGAUAUUCGGAAGAACACCAGUGGCGAAGGCGACUGACUGGACAAGUACUGACGCUGAGGUGCGAAAGCGUGGGGAGCAAACAGG
rnacentral:rRNA from 1 species